GACGAACGCUGGCGGCGUGCCUAAUACAUGCAAGUAGAACGCUGAAGCGAGGAGCUUGCUCUUCUUGGAUGAGUUGCGAACGGGUGAGUAACGCGUAGGUAACCUGCCUUGUAGCGGGGGAUAACUAUUGGAAACGAUAGCUAAUACCGCAUAACAAUGGAUGACACAUGUCAUUUAUUUGAAAGGGGCAAUUGCUCCACUACAAGAUGGACCUGCGUUGUAUUAGCUAGUAGGUGAGGUAAUGGCUCACCUAGGCGACGAUACAUAGCCGACCUGAGAGGGUGAUCGGCCACACUGGGACUGAGACACGGCCCAGACUCCUACGGGAGGCAGCAGUAGGGGAUCUUCGGCAAGUGGGGCAACCCUGACCGAGCAACGCCGCGUGAGUGAAGAAGGGUUUCGGAUCGUAAAGCUCUGUUGUAAGUCAAGAACGGGUGUGAGAGUGGAAAGUUCACACUGUGACGGUAGCUUACCAGAAAGGGACGGCUAACUACGUG
rnacentral:rRNA from 1 species